UACGGGGGGGGCAAGCGUUGUUCGGAAUUACUGGGCGUAAAGGGCUCGUAGGCGGCCAACUAAGUCAGACGUGAAAGCCCUUGGCUUAACCGAGGAAGUGCAUCCGAAACUGGCGAGCUAGAGUACGAAAGAGGAUCGCGGAAUUCCCGGUGUAGAGGUGAAAUUCGUAGAUAUCGGGAGGAACACCGGUGGCGAAGGCGGCGAUCUGGGUCGAUACUGACGCUGAGGUGCGAAAGCGUGGGGAGCAAACAGG
rnacentral:rRNA from 1 species